rnacentral:rRNA from 1 species
UGGGGAAUAUUGGGCAAUGGGCGCAAGCCUGACCCAGCAACGCCGCGUGAAGGAAGAAGGCUUUCGGGUUGUAAACUUCUUUUAUCAGGGACGAUAAUGACGGUACCUGAUGAAUAAGCCACGGCUAACUACGUGCCAGCAGCCGCGGUAAUACGUAGGUGGCAAGCGUUAUCCGGAUUUACUGGGUGUAAAGGGCGUGUAGGCGGGACUGCAAGUCAGAUGUGAAAACUAUGGGCUCAACCCAUAGCCUGCAUUUGAAACUGUAGUUCUUGAGUGUUGGAGAGGCAAGCGGAAUUCCGUGUGUAGCGGUGAAAUGCGUAGAUAUACGGAGGAACACCAGUGGCGAAGGCGGCUUGCUGGACAAUAACUGACGCUGAGGCGCGAAAGCGUGGGGAGCAAACAGGAUUAGAUACC